rnacentral:rRNA from 1 species
GAUGAACGCUGGCGGCGUGCUUAACACAUGCAAGUCGAACGAAGCACUCUAUUUGAUUUUCUUCGGAAAUGAAGAUUUUGUGACUGAGUGGCGGACGGGUGAGUAACGCGUGGGUAACCUGCCUCAUACAGGGGGAUAACAGUUGGAAACGACUGCUAAUACCGCAUAAGCGCACAGGAUUGCAUGAUCCGGUGUGAAAAACUCCGGUGGUAUGAGAUGGACCCGCGUCUGAUUAGCUAGUUGGCAGGGUAACGGCCUACCAAAGCGACGAUCAGUAGCCGACCUGAGAGGGUGACCGGCCACAUUGGGACUGAGACACGGCCCAAACUCCUACGGGAGGCAGCAGUGGGGAAUAUUGCACAAUGGGGGAAACCCUGAUGCAGCGACGCCGCGUGAGCGAAGAAGUAUUUCGGUAUGUAAAGCUCUAUCAGCAGGGAAGAAGA